rnacentral:rRNA from 1 species
GAUGAACGCUGGCGGCGUGCUUAACACAUGCAAGUCGAACGAUGAAGCCCAGCUUGCUGGGUGGAUUAGUGGCGAACGGGUGAGUAACACGUGAGUAACCUGCCCUUAACUCUGGGAUAAGCCUGGGAAACUGGGUCUAAUACCGGAUAGGAGCGCCUACCGCAUGGUGGGUGUUGGAAAGAUUUAUCGGUUUUGGAUGGACUCGCGGCCUAUCAGCUUGUUGGUGAGGUAAUGGCUCACCAAGGCGACGACGGGUAGCCGGCCUGAGAGGGUGACCGGCCACACGGGGACUGAGACACGGCCCAGACGCCUACGGGAGGCAGCAGUGGGGAGUAUUACACAAUGGGCGAAAGCCAGAUGCGGCGACGCCGCGUGAGGGAUGACGGCCUUCGGGUUGUAAACCUCUUUCAGUAGGGAAGAAGCGAAAGUGACGGUACCUGCAGAAGAAGCACCGGCUAACUACGUG